rnacentral:rRNA from 1 species
GGUUGACCUCGGAUCAGGUAGGAAUACCCGCUGA